GGACUGCUGGUGAUGUGGUAUCACAUCCUAACCGUGGUAGGAAGAUUCCGGGUUCGAGUCCCGGGCAGUCCA